AGAGGAAGUAAAAGUCGUAACAAGGUUUCCGUAGGUGAACCUGCGGAAGGAUCAUUAACGCGCAGGCCGGAGGCUGGCCCCCCACGAUAGGGCCAAACGUCCGUCAGGGGUGAGCAGAUGUGCGCCGGCCGUACCGCCCCAUUCUUGUCUACCUUACUCGGUUGCCUCGGCGGGCCGCGCUCUCUCAGGAGAGCCGUUCGGCGAGCCUCUCUUUAGUGGCUCAACGCUGGACCGCGCCCGCCGGAGGACAGACGCAAAAAAAUUCUUUCAGAAGAGCUGUCAGUCUGAGCGUUAGCAAGCAAAAAUCAGUUAAAACUUUCAACAACGGAUCUCUUGGUUCCGGCAUCGAUGAAGAACGCAGCGAAAUGCGAUAAGUAAUGUGAAUUGCAGAAUUCCGUGAAUCAUCGAAUCUUUGAACGCACAUUGCGCCCCCUGGCAUUCCGGGGGGCAUGCCUGUUCGAGCGUCAUUUCAGCCCCUCAAGCCCGGCUUGUGUGAUGGACGACCGUCCGGCGCCCCCGUCUUUGGAGGUGCGGGACGCGCCCGAAAAGCAGUGGCCAGGCCGCGAUUCCGGCUUCUUAGGCGAAUGGGCAACAAACCAGCGCCUCCAGGACCGGCCGCCCUGGCCUCAAAAUCUGUUUUAUACUUAUCAGGUUGACCUCGGAUCAGGUAGGGAUACCCGCUGAACUUAAGCAUAUCAAUAAGCGGAGGAAAAGAAACCAACAGGGAUUGCCCCAGUAACGGCGAGUGAAGCGGCAAGAGCUCAAAUUUGAAAUCUGGCCUCCCCCGGGG
rnacentral:rRNA from 1 species